rnacentral:rRNA from 1 species
CCUACGGGAGGCAGCAGUGAGGAAUAUUGGUCAAUGGGCGAGAGCCUGAACCAGCCAAGUCGCGUGAGGGAAGACGGUCCUACGGAUUGUAAACCUCUUUUGUCAGGGAGCAAGGAGCGCCACGAGUGGUGCGGCGAGAGUACCUGAAGAAAAAGCAUCGGCUAACUCCGUGCCAGCAGCCGCGGUAAUACGGAGGAUGCGAGCGUUAUCCGGAUUUAUUGGGUUUAAAGGGAGCGUAGGCGGGCGUUCAAGUCAGCUGUAAAAUCGCGCGGCUCAACCGCGCCCCGCAGUUGAAACUGGACGCCUUGAGUUCACAACAGGCAGGCGGAAUUCGUGGUGUAGCGGUGAAAUGCAUAGAUAUCACGAGGAACCCCGAUUGCGAAGGCAGCCUGCCGGGGUGCGACUGACGCUGAGGCUCGAAGGUGCGGGUAUCAAACAGGAUUAGAUACCCUUGUAGUC